CACAUUGAAGUCAGAUCAAUUACCCUACAAACCAUCUCUCCUAUUUGAGCUAUUUCCCUUCUUCUCCGGUGACAUACCAUCGAUUCCUACAACCAAAUACACCACCGUCCUGCUCCUUCUUACUUGCCCACAUACCAUCUUCUUCGCCGGAGAUCACCGUACACCACCUCCAUCACGGCAACCACUGCCGCCACCCACAACACAACCACCGGCGACGAUUCACCUCCUUCUUCAUUCCGACCGACCUCCGAUUAUUUCAUCGGAGAACAUCCUGAUAUCCGGCGAACGACCAUCGAACCACCACCACCAUCGACUGCCACCAUGCUGACCGAUUACCACCGAGUGACCACCAUCGUCUCUCACAACGACCAUCGUCUCUUACAACGAUCAAGCAACCACCACUGUUCAUCUUUGAUUAAUACUAACGUUUUUUAGUUUUCUCUAACUUGCAGUCAACUCGGGAAUUCAGGUGUGAAUGUUUACUAUUUCUCUAUGGUUAUACAAAAUAAAUAUGAUGUGUUUCUGAAAUUUGGAGAUUAUUGGGUGAGAUUGAUAUGUGAAUAUUGGAGCUGAUUAUUGAAAAAAAAAUAUAUAUAUAAAAUACAUGUUUGCAUACAGAGAUGUCAGGAGUUGGUUUAGGCGAGAUGUGGGUGGUUACAAUCAAACUAUGUGAGGAAGUUGAAAUCGUGAUUUGGAGGUGAUAGCUAUAGGAUGAAAUCAUGAUUACAGGUUAGUAAAAAAAAAGAAAAAGAAAAAAAAGUGACGAGUAAUGUGUUUGAGGGAUGUGGGUAGUGCAUAAAAAAGUCGGGAAUUGAUAAAUUGAGCUCAUUGCGUCAUUGUGAAGUUAGAGUUGAAUAUAAGUCACAAGGUGGUGUAUGUUUGAUGAGAUGAGCGUAGUUAGCAAGUAGGUGGUGGAUAGUAAAUGUGUGAGGCGCUUAGGAUCAUAGAAAGGGCCUAAGAGUGGAUAGUGGUGCAUAUGCACUAGUAUGAUUGGGUACUACUGUGUCACAAGGGUACAUCAAGUUGAUGCGUUAUUUAGUGCAUGUUCGUUAGAUGUUAAUGUGUGAAAAUAGUAGGAAGAUGAUGCGUUUCGAGGAAGGUAAGUUUGUGCGAAAAGUAGGCCAGUUGAUAGUCGGAGGCUCGAGUCAAAAUAAAAGUCAAUUAGUGUAGUUCCGUGAUACGUGGAAGGAUUUGGGGAGUAUGUCGCGAUGUGCGACGACGGUCAGGCAGAGAGAAAAUCAAAUUUUUAAUGCCCAGUAUUGUUUAAUGUCAUCCUAAUCCCGUUUUUCGCUCGUUUAACCAGUGUUUGGAGCUUGUGAGAUUUGUUUUGCAGGUGUCGAUUGCUUUUGUCCAUAUUCAAUCUUCAUUUGGACGAAAGUGAUUCGAACAAUCAGAUAAAGACAGGCGUCCCAUGUUGAAGCAGCCGCGAAUGAAAUGCUAUACGGUUGUGGUGGAACAAGGCUCGUAGGAAUUCAACCGCAUCAAAUCAGGGGAGUCUAUUCCAUUUAUCUAUGUAUUUUUAUUUAUGUUUUAGUGUGUUAAUAGUUUCUCGCUCCAUUGAGGACAAUGUAAGAAUUAAGUGUGGGGAGGGGAAACUAGCGUCUAGUGUGUCUUAGUUGUGUUAGUGUCGUGUCGAAAAAAAUAAAUAAAAAAUUGAAAAAAUCAAAAAUCCAAAAAAAAAAAAGUUGAAAAAAAUAGAAAAUGUCCCGUAAAAGUUUUCGCACAAAAUGGAAAAUGAUAGGUGUAAUUGAAUCAGUGGCAUUUCGAUUACUAUAUAUACGAGAUAAUAAAUAAUCGAUCACACGUCUAAUUUAGGAUAUGUGGGUAGGCCCAGCUGGUUGAAAGGUUCCUUAGGCUUGAUAUAAAAUAACUUAAAAUAGGAGUCUUGUGGGUUCUCGCCUUAGGAGCUAUGACAAAGCUGAAACUGUGGAAAGUAUAAGGGGUACGUCAUAAGUAAAAAACUUAUAAGUUUUUCCGAUUAAAUUGGCACACCUGUUUCUUUUUGUGAAAACAAAUCCGAAACAGUGUGGCGCCCAAAAAAAAAAAAAUUUUCCAUCCAUCCAUCUGAGCACAUGUAAAAAAAAAAAACGUGAAGUUUAUGGCAUUAACCAUGGGGAUGGUGACUCGUAUGGCGUAUGUCCGCUGAACUGAUCGUAUACAGAAGCAUGUAAGCUCACAAUAUCAUCCAUUCAUCCAUCAUAAAGUUUAAUCGGAAUAAUAUAAGAGUUUUUUAUAUAAGGCGGUAGAUUAUAAAUCUUUUAAUCUCAUAAGCUUGAAACGGGAAUAGGUGGAGUCGUAGUCUUUUGAGUGUGGGAUCCAUAGAUGACUAUAUAAUACUUGAACUUAAUGGAUUGAAAAUAAGGGCUUUGAAACCGGCGGUUGGGUUUAAGUGGACCGUAUAUCCACAAUCUUGGUUAACGUGAGAUGUGAUUUGUUUUAAUAAAAUAAUUGAAUACAUUGGAAGCCAUUUGUUUUGAUUGUGAUUCCAUUGCGAAUAAUUUUUUCGCGGACGAAAAAAGAUAAGUGUGGGGAUUUGAUCGGUGCAUUUUUAGUUCACGUUAUUGGAUAUUAUUUAUAAUAAAAAUGAAUUGAUAUGAGCAUAGUAUAUGUAUAUAUGUAUUAAAAGACAUAAAACUAGAAAAGUAGAUCUAAAUGAUUAGUAAAACGAUUGUAAUAUUUUGUAAGGUUAUAAUGGGUUGAUAUUUUAAUUUAUAUUGAAACCAUAUGUUAACAGGAAGUCAAAGUUGUAUUUGAUCUAAAAGAAUUGAUGUGAGCUCUCGUGAAUCAUGUGGGGACAUGGGCUAUUGCAAAACAUAAAAGUAAUUGGGCUUGACAUCAAAAUUAAAGAGAAUAUGGGUUGUUUGUUUGACCGACAACAAGGAAAGCAUAAAAGGUAUUUUACGGCAGAAUUUUAGGAGGAUUCAUUCAGCAGCCGUCGCACAACACAAACGAGGGACGAAUUCAUCAUCUUUAUUUAUCUUCCAAGCCAAUCUAUGAGGUCUAACCUAAUCGGGAUGACAACCGAAGCGGUAAAGAUCACCAUGCGCGGCUAAACUUCUCGUGACUUCUGCCCAGACGAACGUUUACGUGGUUUGACAUAAUUAUUUGUUUUUCUGAUUCUUGUAAACUGGUACAGCUUGACCACUUGUGUUGGAUUAUUGGUAAACUUUUCUUGUGUUUGAAUUACUUGUCGUUUAUUAAGCGUAUUGGC
rnacentral:lncRNA from 1 species